rnacentral:lncRNA from 1 species
CUGGGCCACUGAAUUAAGGACAAGCAAACCAGUUAAACGUCCAAGGUAUCAGAGAUAUUCAUAUCAAGAUUACUUACAGAAUAACAAACAAACAACAGGAGCUUAGCCUGAAAAGGAAGUUUCAGGAGGAUAUGCAUGAAUUCUGUGAAAUCUUGAAAUAUAUAAACAAGAAGAACACCAAUUUACUUAGCAAAAUCAAGACUACAAGAGUCAAAAUGAACUAUUAAUAGUGCCCUUUUGGCUUCCUAUUACUUCCUAUUUGUUGAGCACCACAAAAGUGCCUACUGGGAUUAUGCGGCUUUAUGAUGCUAUAAGACUAAGAAUCAAAGAAUUCUUAUAUAACUAGCAGGAGAAGAGAAUCUAUGCUGUUAAAAUAUUUAGGUACUUGAUGUCUGACUUGUGUAUUUUAUCACUUCAUCUUUUCUAUGACUCAAGUGGACCUCGUUCUUCAAGGUCUUUAAAUACCUUUGUCCCUAGAACUAAG